UACGUAGGGGGCGAGCGUUGUCCGGAGUUACUGGGCGUAAAGCGCACGCAGGCGGUCGUGUAAGUUUGGGGUUACAGCUCCCGGCUCAACCGGGAGAGCGCCUUGAAGACUGCAGGACUUGAGGGCCAAAGAGGGACACAGAAUUCCGGGUGUAGUGGUGAAAUGCGUAGAUAUCCGGAGGAAUACCAAAGGCGAAGGCAGUGUCCUGGUUGGUACCUGACGCUCAGGUGCGAAAGCUAGGGGAGCGAACGGG
rnacentral:rRNA from 1 species